GCCGAGGUAGCUCAGCGGCAGAGCAAGCGGCUCAUAAUCGCUCGGUCGAGGGUCCGAUUCCCUCCCUCGGCA
rnacentral:tRNA from 1 species